rnacentral:miRNA from 1 species
UUCCUUCCGAUCAACGAGGUACAUCCUCGUUGACCGGAAGGAAACCCUUCCGGUCAAAGAGGUCGAUGUACCUCCCUGACCAGAAGGGUUUCCUUCCGGUCAACGAGGAUGUACCUUGUUGAUUGGAAGGAA